UACAGAGGGUGCGAGCGUUAAUCGGAAUUACUGGGCGUAAAGCGCGCGUAGGCGGCUUUGCAAGUCGGGUGUGAAAUCCCCAGGCUUAACCUGGGAACUGCAUUCGAGACUGCAUUGCUAGAGUAUGGGAGAGGGAAGUGGAAUUUCCGGUGUAGCGGUGGAAUGCGUAGAUAUGUGGAGGAACACCAGUGGCGAAGGCGACUCUUUGGUCUGUAACUGACGCUGAGGCGCGAAAGCGUGGGGAGCAAACAGG
rnacentral:rRNA from 1 species